rnacentral:rRNA from 1 species
CCCUUAGAUGUUCUGGGCCGCACGCGCGCUACACUGACGAAGGCAACGAGCUACUCUUCACCGAAAGGUGUGGGUAAUCUUUUGAAACUUCGUCGUGCUGGGGAUAGAUCCUUGCAAUUUUUGAUCUUAAACGAGGAAUUCCUAGUAAGCGCAAGUCAUCAACUUGCGUUGAUUACGUCCCUGCCCUUUGUACACACCGCCCGUCGCUACUACCGAUUGAAUGCUCAGGUGAGCCAUUCGGACCUUCAUCAUGCCGGUUUCCGGUUUUGAUGAGGGAAAGUCUUGCGAACCUUAUCAUUUAGAGGAAGGAGAAGUCGUAACA